AUGGGUUCUUCUUUUUUCCCUCUGGCUUUCAGUUUUCUCUCUGACUGCUUGUGCCCUACACCAUUUUCCUUAUUUUUUUUUUCUUCCUCUGUCUUGCAGCCCAUGGGUGCAGGAAGCAGUUGUUCCCCAUGGGACGGAUGUGUAGAUGGACAGACGCCAUUUGAUGCCUCAUCUCUCUGGCCUUCCAGGAGAAGAGGGAAAUGUACAGGGACAGAGCGCUGCUGCAGCCUCCUUCCUGGGAGUUCUGUGCACGAGAUGGAAGAAGUCUUCUUGGCCCAUAUGAGUCCAGAGUGGUGUUUCUUCCUAGCAACUGGAGACCAGGUGUACACACCACGCUGCCAAAGGAACUCUCUCACUGCAAUGGCAAGGUCUCUUCUCAGGGCUGUUAACAACGCAAAUGGCAGUGAGAGCAGAAGGAUCAGACACCUGGAUCUCUGCAGGACACAUCAUGAACAGGAAGCAGCCAUGCACCAGAAGCAGAUGACACCGCACAGCUGGCAGCUUCGCAGAGACUAAAUGCAGAUGGGGGGUAGGGAGGCAUGAGUAUUAUUUUUUAGCUUUUAAUGUCUGGCAAGUGGAUGGUGAGAGGGCUAUAUGUUAAUGUAGUGGUGGAGGUAAGGAGCUGGAUUAAGAGCACGUUAUGCAGCUGUAUGUGUUGUUCUGUUGAGACAGUGUCAAUGAAAACAUUCUACACGUUCCAUGGGAGUUCUUUCAGAAAACAGAGACAGGACGCAAUCGAUGUGAGCCAAUAUCCCAGAUGGUAUGUGUACCCUUGGAGUCUCACAGCAUAUGGAGCUGCUCCAUGGUUGGGCAAAAACACCCCUUUUCUGACUAGUUCAUGCUGGCUUACAUUGUGACCUGUGCCCGCAUGCCUACAAAGGCCCCCAGCAUCCAUGCAUGCAAUGAGUGCCCAGAAGUGUCUCCCCUCCAGCACAAUCAUGCUCAGUGCUCACAGCCCCUCCCCAGUACAGCAGCACUGCUCCCUUGGUCACCUUCACAUUGCAGCACCACGCAAAGACCUGUGGCUCCAUACUUUGUGGCUCUUGUUUUUAAUUCCUCCACUUCUGACCUGCAGCCCAUAGCUACAGCAAGCAACCAUUCCCCGUGGGUGCGUACAUAUGAAUGCUGCUCCGGCCCUGGUUUCUAAGAUGCCCCACAUGAAGGUGGAGUGUGUGGGCCCUGAGGCCCUUGCAGAAGUGAGCUGCAUGAAUUAAUACUAACAGUUGUUUUCUCGCUGUCACUGCAUGCCAUCCCUUUGCACUGGGUAAAUGGCCAUCUCCAGAGUCCAGGGGAGCAGGUCACAUACUGGGGAGGGAGGGAGCAUAUUCCUGCAGUGUUGCCCUUCGUUUCAGCUGGGGCUGGAGCCUCAGGUGUGGCUACUGAGGGAGGUGAUGGGGUCAGCCCCUCCUUGUAAAGCAGCGGAGCGAAUACAAAGAGGCAUGCACAUCACGCCGAAGGGGGGGGGGGCGGAGCGGACCCCUUGACGGCCAGCUCGGGUCGCCGUCCCGGUCGCGUC
ensembl:lncRNA